UGUAAAUUAGUGUAUGAAGCACAAUGAUUUUUGAUAUCAUAAGGUUAAGUUUAAUUCUUAAGUUUACAA
rnacentral:tRNA from 1 species